UGGCCGGAGGGACCAGAAGUGCAAGCUGGGUGGGAAGCUGGACGCGGGCUAAACCAUGCACCGAAGCUGCGGCAGCGACGCUUAUGCGUUGUUGGGUAGGGGAGCGUUCUGUAAGCCUGUGAAGGUGUGCUGUGAGGCAUGCUGGAGGUAUCAGAAGUGCGAAUGCUGACAUAAGUAACGAUAAAGCGGGUGAAAAGCCCGCUCGCCGGAAGACCAAGGGUUC
rnacentral:rRNA from 1 species